rnacentral:rRNA from 1 species
ACGGCAUCUUUACGAGGCCUGUAUUGGAUGAGUACACUUUAAAUCCUUUAACAAGGACCUAUUGGAGGGCAAGUUCUGGUGCCAGCAGCCGCGGUAACUCCAGCUCCAAUAGCGUAUAUUAAUGUUGUUGCGGUUAAAACGUUCGUAGUUGAACUUGUGCUUCAUACGGGUAGUACAACUAUAAUUUUAGAUUGUGCUAUACCUUAUGUAUGUAAGCGUAUUACCGGUGGGGUUCUUAUAUGCAAAUGUAAUACUUGUAUUCUUUUGUAUAUUCCUCCUAUUUAAACCUGCCUCAAUGCUCUUCAUCGGGUGUUGUUGCGGGCCGGUACAAUUACUUUGAACAAAUUAGAGUGCUUAAAGCAGGCUCCAAAUGCCUGAAUAUUUUGUGCAUGGAAUAAUGGAAUAAGACCUCUGUUCUACUUUCAUUGGUUUUUAGAUCAAGAGGUAAUGAUUAAUAGAAGCAGUUUGGGGGCAUUAGUAUUACGACGCGAGAGGUGAAAUUCUUGGACCGUCGUAAGACUAACUUAAGCGAAAGCAUUUGCCAAAGAUGUUUUCAUUAAUCAAGAACGAAAGUUAGGGGAUC